CACGUAGGGGGCGAGCGUUGUCCGGAUUUAUUGGGCGUAAAGAGCUCGUAGGCGGCCAACCAAGUCAGACGUGAAAUCCCUCGGCUUAACCGGGGAACUGCGUCUGAUACUGGAUGGCUUGAGUUCGGGAGAGGGAUGCGGAAUUCCAGGUGUAGCGGUGAAAUGCGUAGAUAUCUGGAGGAACACCGGUGGCGAAGGCGGCAUCCUGGACCGACACUGACGCUGAGGAGCGAAAGCCAGGGGAGCAAACGGG
rnacentral:rRNA from 1 species